rnacentral:lncRNA from 1 species
UCCUCCCUGUGCAGCAACAAGGGUAAUUAGUAUUUGUUUACAGGGCUUUUCUAGAAGGGUGUCAGGGACUACGUACUGCAGACCCUGUCUGGAACCAGGGGGAAGUGCUUUGAGUGAGAAGCAAGUCUAGACUGCAGAGACCAGUCUCGUGCUCUCUGCCAUACUGCAACCCAGAUGCCGGCUGGAGUCCCACAUCUAAGGUCAUCUCAGGAAGUGCCCUUCCUGAAAGCCUGGACAUUCUCUCACUUCCUAGUUUCACCCUGGCGCCAGGGACUCUCCGUCUUGAGGAACUGUGUCUAAUGAUUGUGUUUGUAUAAGUAUGUGUGGAUGUGUGCCUGCUACAGACCUGAAGGUAACGUGAAAAUUAUUCCUUACCGCAAGACUGAUACUUGUUAUUCUUUAAACCCUGAAACACCCUCCUGAUUUCUUUCACUUCACUUCUCUCAAGCCUAUUUAGAAUUAUAGUUGCUUCAUGAUGUAAGAGUCCUUGGAAACUGCUGUGUAGCUGGGUGAAAUCAACUUGAUUUCAUCUUUAAGAGAUUAAUUUUUUUAUUUGUCCUAGCUUAAAAGCAAACUUUUUUUUCCUCUUGUUCAGAAUAUAGGCUUGGCCUUGUAACAAAACUUUUUUAUUUGCGGACAUGGGACAAAGUCUAUCUAAAUGCCUAUGUUUAGAACAUUAAAUAUUUAUCUUGAACUGAUUAGGCCCUUAUUGCCCUUGGAGGGGAGAGUGCAUUACAUCUUAAGUACAGUAUGCAUUAGCUUCAAGGGUCUAUGGAUCUCCAGUAAGUGCAUGGCGCAAAGCAAAUAUUUUUAAAUAGCCUCUCUUGUUCCUCAAAGGAAAGUUUCAACAGGACCUGGGAAAAUACAGAUUUUCUUUUUUGAAACAUGAAAUUCCUUCACAGCAAAGGGACAUCUGGGUUUUGCUUUGUUUUUAACAACACAAACUGUUAGCUUAGUGAUUCGUAUCUCGGCCUCUCAACUCUGGGUCUCAUUUUCCCAGCAGUGGUAAGUGUGUACUUUACUGAAAGGGAACCCUCUUUAAACAAAC